GGAACAUCUAGUACUAGCUAAGCUUAAGCAAAAUUCCAAUCAGUCCAGCCAAACAUUUGAAGAAAAAAAUUAAAGGAAAUUACAAUGUUUACAACAAAAAUAACAAGUAAAUAGUAUAACUUGAGCCAAAUAUAACUGAAUGAAAUAAAGAAUUGGAUUAUUUCAGAGUACAUCUGCAUAUAUAAUAUGCAGAAACUCCCUAUUUAAAUGUGAUAUGAUGCUGCCCACCUUCCAAUUACUGGUGCAAAGUUCCUCUACUUCAUGCUCUUCCACAAUGUAGAACAUUGCUGGGAACCGGAGAUUCAUCUCUCCACGAAUUUACGGGUGAGUAAACUCGCAGAUAAAAUUGUUGUCCUAAGUAUUGACGAGCCCAAUUCUGAGACCUUAUGUUCCACAUUCCCACAUUAUCUAAUGGCAUGUAUAGUGCAGUCCAGGACUUUGGGUACACCUGAACUGUUGAACGAGAAAUCGUGUCCCUUAAGUUGUAUGUUAAUCUGCUUGCAGGAGUCCACUCUCCGCGACCCAUUCCCACAACGAAGAAAUGGUGUCCAUCGAUGUGGUAAGACUGCACACUGUCUUCUAAAUUCUCAAAUACAACUUCAGUAUAAGCUCGAAAAUCAGCAGACAUAACGGAUGUCUGAAGGUAAGCACCGGAUCCAGUAGGGCUAUCUGGAAUGCUUCCAAGGGUAAAGACCCCGGGAAUAUUGAAGUGAUCAGCAAGUUUAAGUGGUGUAUCUGCUGGAAUAAAGGACACGCUGUUGAUAGCAUAUCUUUGCUUCCCAUUGAUGAUUGGAGCUGAAUUCGCAAGUCUAAUUGUGCGUGUGGUGUUAAUAAGUCCGUAGUGGUAGGAGCCCUGAGGGUUAGGUCUCGGUCCACUAGCUGUUAGAUUACGCCUGAGAGAUCGGGCCUGAUUGAAAGACCAAUCAAUUUCAAUUGUUGGUCCACCAGGAGGAGGGCCAGAAACACUUCCUGCUGAAUUACUAUAACGAAGAGUAGACGUAGCUGUGAGCACCUGAGAUGUGAAACGAGUGGAGACAACAAUAUAGUAAUCUUGUGCAGGUUGAUCCGCAGUUAACAACACAGAAUAGGACUGUCCCAAAUGGAUAUCAAGAGAAUCAUAUGCAUUUUGCACAGUGUGAGUCCCUUCUACUUCAACUACAGUCAUCUUAUGCCCUUGGAUUCUAAAAUUAACGGAAGUUGUGAGACCAACGUUUGAUAUCCUGAAUCUGUAAGUCUUGCCUUGAUCAAC
rnacentral:misc_RNA from 1 species